rnacentral:rRNA from 1 species
UGGGGAAUAUUGCACAAUGGGCGCAAGCCUGAUGCAGCCAUGCCGCGUGUAUGAAGAAGGCCUUCGGGUUGUAAAGUACUUUCAGCGGGGAGGAAGGCGAUAAGGUUAAUAACCUUGUCGAUUGACGUUACCCGCAGAAGAAGCACCGGCUAACUCCGUGCCAGCAGCCGCGGUAAUACGGAGGGUGCAAGCGUUAAUCGGAAUUACUGGGCGUAAAGCGCGCGCAGGCGGUCUGUCAAGUCGGAUGUGAAAUCCCCGGGCUCAACCUGGGAACUGCAUUCGAAACUGGCAGGCUAGAGUCUUGUAGAGGGGGGUAGAAUUCCAGGUGUAGCGGUGAAAUGCGUAGAGAUCUGGAGGAAUACCGGUGGCGAAGGCGGCCCCCUGGACAAAGACUGACGCUCAGGUGCGAAAGCGUGGGGAGCGAACA